rnacentral:rRNA from 1 species
CCCAGACUCCUACGGGAGGCAGCAGUGAGGAAUAUUGGUCAAUGGUCGGGAGACUGAACCAGCCAAGCCGCGUGAGGGAUGAAGGUACAGAGUAUCGUAAACCUCUUUUGUCAGGGAACAAAGGCGGGGACGUGUCCCCGGAUGAGUGUACCUGAAGAAAAAGCAUCGGCUAACUCCGUGCCAGCAGCCGCGGUAAUACGGAGGAUGCGAGCGUUAUCCGGAUUUAUUGGGUUUAAAGGGUGCGCAGGCGGAGGUGCAAGUCAGGGGUCAAAUGGGGGGGCCCAACCCCGACGAGCCGUUGAAACUGGCUUGCUAGAGUGGGCGAGAAGUAUGCGGAAUGCGUGGUGUAGCGGUGAAAUGCAUAGAUAUCACGCAGAACUCCGAUUGCGAAGGCAGCAUACCGGCGCCCAACUGACGCUGAAGCACGAAAGCGUGGGUAUCGAACAGGAUUAGAUACCCCAGUAU